rnacentral:rRNA from 1 species
UACGGGGGGGGCAAGCGUUGUUCGGAAUUACUGGGCGUAAAGGGCUCGUAGGCGGCCAACUAAGUCGGAUGUGAAAUCCCCAGGCUUAACCUGGGAAUUGCAUCCGAUACUGGAUGGCUUGAAUCCGGGAGAGGGAUGCGGAAUUCCUGGUGUAGCGGUGGAAUGCGCAGAUAUCAGGAGGAACACCAAUGGCGAAGGCAGAUCUCUGGGCCGUAACUGACGCUGAGGAGCGAAAGCAUGGGGAGCGAACAGG